rnacentral:rRNA from 1 species
CCUACGGGAGGCAGCAGUGGGGGAUAUUGGACAAUGGGGGGAACCCUGAUCCAGCGACGCCGCGUGAGUGAAGAAGUAUUUCGGUAUGUAAAGCUCUGUCAGCAGGGAAGAAAGAAAUGACGGUACCUGACCAAGACGCCGUGGCUAACUACGUGCCAGCAGCCGCGGUAAUACGUAGGGGGCGAGCGUUAUCCGGAGUUACGGGGUUUAAAGGGUGCGUAGGGGGACUGUUAAGUCAGCGGUAAAAGCCCGGGGCUCAACCCCGGCGAGCCGGUGAAACUGGCUGUCUUGAGAUGUCGAGAGGUAUGCGGAAUGCGCGGUGUAGCGGUGAAAUGCAUAGAUAUUGCGCAGAACUCCGAUUGCGAAGGCAGCAUACCGGCGGCGAUCUGACGCUGAGGCACGAAAGCGUGGGUAUCGAACAGGAUUAGAUACCCGGGUAGUC